rnacentral:rRNA from 1 species
AGGUAAGCUACUAAGAGCGAAUGGUGGAUGCCUUGACUGGUAAAGGCGAUGAAGGACGUACUAGACUGCGAUAAGCUACGGGGAGCUGUCAAGAAGCUUUGAUCCGUAGAUUUCCGAAUGGGGCAACCCAAUGUAUAGAGAUAUACAUUACCUAUAUAGGAGCGAACGAGGGGAAUUGAAACAUCUUAGUACCCUCAGGAAAAGAAAUCAAUAGAGAUUGCGUCAGUAGCGGCGAGCGAAAGCGUAAGAGGGCAAACCCAGUGCUUGCACUGGGGGUUGUAGGACUGCAAUGUGCAAGAGGUGAGUUUAGCAGAACAUUCUGGAAAGUAUAGCCAUAGAGGGUGAUAGUCCCGUAUGCGAAAAACAAACCUUAGCUAGCAGUAUCCUGAGUAGGGCGGGACACGAGAAAUCCUGUCUGAAGCUGGGUCGACCACGAUCCAACCCUAAAUACUAAUACCAGAUCGAUAGUGCACAAGUACCGUGAGGGAAAGGUGAAAAGAACUGAGGUGAUCAGAGUGAAAUAGAACCUGAAACCAUUUGCUUACAAUCAUUCAGAGCACUAUGUAGCAAUACAGUGUGAUGGACUGCCUUUUGCAUAAUGAGCCUGCGAGUUGUGGUGUCUGGCAAGGUUAAGCAAACGCGAAGCCGUAGCGAAAGCGAGUCUGAAUAGGGCGCUUAGUCAGAUGCUGCAGACCCGAAACGAAGUGAUCUAUCCAUGAGCAAGUUGAAGCUAGUGUAAGAACUAGUGGAGGACUGAACCCAUAGGCGUUGAAAAGCCCCGGGAUGACUUGUGGAUAGGGGUGAAAGGCCAAUCAAACUUCGUGAUAGCUGGUUCUCUCCGAAAUAUAUUUAGGUAUAGCGUUGUGUCGUAAUAUAAGGGGGUAGAGCACUGAAUGGGCUAGGGCAUACACCAAUGUACCAAACCCUAUCAAACUCCGAAUACCUUAUAUGUAAUCACAGCAGUCAGGCGGCGAGUGAUAAAAUCCGUCGUCAAGAGGGAAACAACCCAGACUACCAGCUAAGGUCCCUAAAUCUUACUUAAGUGGAAAACGAUGUGAAGUUACUUAAACAACCAGGAGGUUGGCUUAGAAGCAGCCAUCCUUUAAAGAAAGCGUAAUAGCUCACUGGUCUAGUGAUUUUGCGCGGAAAAUAUAACGGGGCUAAAGUAAGUACCGAAGCUGUAGACUUGAUUUUAUCAAGUGGUAGGAGAGCGUUCUAUUUGCGCCGAAGGUAUACCGGUAAGGAGUGCUGGAGCGAAUAGAAGUGAGCAUGCAGGCAUGAGUAGCGAUAAUUAAUGUGAGAAUCAUUAACGCCGUAAACCCAAGGUUUCCUACGCGAUGCUCGUCAUCGUAGGGUUAGUCGGGUCCUAAGUCGAGUCCGAAAGGGGUAGACGAUGGCAAAUUGGUUAAUAUUCCAAUACCAACAUUAGUGUGCGAUGGAAGGACGCUUAGGGCUAAGGGGGCUAGCGGAUGGAAGUGCUAGUCUAAGGUCGUAGGAGGUUAUACAGGCAAAUCCGUAUAACAAUACUCCGAGAACUGAAAGGCUUUUUGAAGUCUUCGGAUGGAUAGAAGAACCCCUGAUGCCAUCGAGCCAAGAAAAGUUUCUAAGUUUAGCUAAUGUUGCCCGUACCGUAAACCGACACAGGUGGGUGGGAUGAGUAUUCUAAGGCGCGUGGAAGAACUCUCUUUAAGGAACUCUGCAAAAUAGCACCGUAUCUUCGGUAUAAGGUGUGGUUCGCUUCGUAUUAGGAUUUACUCCGAAAGCGAAGAAACUUACAACAAAGAGUCCCUCCCGACUGUUUACCAAAAACACAGCACUCUGCUAACUCGUAAGAGGAUGUAUAGGGUGUGACGCCUGCCCGGUGCUCGAAGGUUAAUUGAUGGGGUUAGCAUUAGCGAAGCUCUUGAUCGAAGCCCGAGUAAACGGCGGCCGUAACUAUAACGGUCCUAAGGUAGCGAAAUUCCUUGUCGGUUAAAUACCGACCUGCAUGAAUGGCGUAACGAGAUGGGAGCUGUCUCAAAGAGGGAUCCAGUGAAAUUGUAGUGGAGGUGAAAAUUCCUCCUACCCGCGGCAAGACGGAAAGACCCCGUGGACCUUUACUACAGCUUGACACUGCUAUUUGGAUAAGAAUGUGCAGGAUAGGUGGGAGGCUUUGAGUAUAUGACGCCAGUUGUAUAUGAGCCAUUGUUGAGAUACCACUCUUUCUUAUUUGGGUAGCUAACCAGCUUGAGUUAUCCUCAAGUGGGACAAUGUCUGGUGGGUAGUUUGACUGGGGCGGUCGCCUCCCAAAUAAUAACGGAGGCUUACAAAGGUUGGCUCAGAACGGUUGGAAAUCGUUCGUAGAGUAUAAAGGUAUAAGCCAGCUUAACUGCAAGACAUACAAGUCAAGCAGAGACGAAAGUCGGUCUUAGUGAUCCGGUGGUUCUGUGUGGAAGGGCCAUCGCUCAAAGGAUAAAAGGUACCCCGGGGAUAACAGGCUGAUCUCCCCCAAGAGCUCACAUCGACGGGGAGGUUUGGCACCUCGAUGUCGGCUCAUCGCAUCCUGGGGCUGGAGCAGGUCCCAAGGGUAUGGCUGUUCGCCAUUUAAAGCGGUACGCGAGCUGGGUUCAGAACGUCGUGAGACAGUUCGGUCCCUAUCUGCCGUGGGCGUAAGAAGAUUGAAGAGAUUUGACCCUAGUACGAGAGGACCGGGUUGAACAAACCACUGGUGUAGCUGUUGUUCUGCCAAGAGCAUCGCAGCGUAGCUAAGUUUGGAAAGGAUAAACGCUGAAAGCAUCUAAGCGUGAAGCCAACUCUAAGAUGAAUCUUCUCUAAGCUCUCUAGAAGACUACUAGUUUGAUAGGCUGGGUGUGUAAUGGAUGAAAGUCCUUUAGCUGACCAGUACUAAUAGAGCGUUUGGCUUAUCUUU